AACGAACGCUGGCGGCGUGCCUAACACAUGCAAGUCGAACGAGAAAGGGGCUUCGGCUCCGAGUAAAGUGGCGCACGGGUGAGUAACACGUGGGUAACCUGCCUCUAAGAUUGGGAUAACUCGUCGAAAGAUGAGCUAAUACCGGAUAAGACCACAGUUCCCGCGGGAACAGGGGUCAAAGGUAGCCUCUGCUUGCAAGCUAUCACCUCGAGCUGGGCCGGCGCCCCAUUAGCUCGGUGGUAGGGUAACGGCCUACCAAGGCAAAGAUGGUUAGCUGGUCUGAGAGGAUGAGCAGCCACACUGGAACUGAGACACGGUCCAGACUCCUACGGGAGGCGGCAGUGGGGAAUAUUGCGCAAUGGGCGAAAGCUUGACGCAGCAACGCCGCGUGAGUGAUGAAGGCCUUCGGGUCGUAAAGCUCUGUCGGGAGGAACGGAUGCUCCCAAGGUUAACAGCCUCGGGAGGUGACGGUACCUUCAAAGGAAGCACCGGCUAACUCUGUGCCAGCCGCCGCGGUAACAC
rnacentral:rRNA from 1 species